GUAGGUGGCAAGCGUUGUCCGGGAAUUAUUGGGCGUAAAGCGCGCGCAGGCGGUUCUUUAAGUCUGAUGUGAAAGCCCACGGGCUCAACCGUGGAGGGUCAUUGGAAACUGGAGAACUUGAGUACAGAAGAGGAAAGCGGAAUUCCACGUGUAGCGGUGAAAUGCGUAGAGAUGUGGAGGAACACCAGUGGCGAAGGCGGCUUUCUGGUCUGUAACUGACGCUGAGGCGCGAAAGCGUGGGGAGCAAACAGGAUUAGAUACCCUGGUAGUCCAUGCCGUAAACGAUGAGUGCUAAGUGUUAGGGGGUUUCCGCCCCUUAGUGCUGCAGCUAACGCAUUAAGCACUCCGCCUGGGGAGUACGGCCGCAAGGCUG
rnacentral:rRNA from 1 species